UACGAAGGGGGCUAGCGUUGUUCGGAAUCACUGGGCGUAAAGCGCACGUAGGCGGAUCUUUAAGUCAGGGGUGAAAUCCCGAGGCUCAACCUCGGAACUGCCUUUGAUACUGGGGAUCUCGAGUCCGGGAGAGGUGAGUGGAACUGCGAGUGUAGAGGUGAAAUUCGUAGAUAUUCGCAAGAACACCAGUGGCGAAGGCGGCUCACUGGCCCGGAACUGGACGCUGAGGUGCGAAAGCGUGGGGAGCAACAGGG
rnacentral:rRNA from 1 species